UACGUAGGGGGCUAGCGUUGUCCGGAAUCAUUGGGCGUAAAGCGCGCGUAGGCGGCCCGGUAAGUCCGCUGUGAAAGUCAAGGGCUCAACCUUUGAAUGUCAGCGGAUACUGCCGGGCUAGAGUCCGGAAGAGGCGAGUGGAACUCCUGGUGUAGCGGUGGAAUGCGCAGAUAUCAGGAAGAACACCAACGGCGAAGGCAGCUCGCUGGGACGGAACUGACGCUAAGGCGCGAAAGCGUGGGGAGCGAACAGG
rnacentral:rRNA from 1 species